CGUAGCCGCGGUAAUACGUAGGGUGCGAGCGUUAAUCGGAAUUACUGGGCGUAAAGCGUGCGCAGGCGGUUCGUUAAGACAGAUGUGAAAUCCCCGGGCUUAACCUGGGAACUGCAUUUGUGACUGGCGAGCUAGAGUAUGGCAGAGGGGGGUAGAAUUCCACGUGUAGCAGUGAAAUGCGUAGAGAUGUGGAGGAAUACCGAUGGCGAAGGCAGCCCCCUGGGCCAAUACUGACGCUCAUGCACGAAAGCGUGGGGAGCAAACAGGAUUAGAUACCCGCGUAGUCCCUGUCUCUUAUACC
rnacentral:rRNA from 1 species